CAAUAGCGUAUAUUAAAGUUGUUGCAGUUAAAAAGCUCGUAGUUGGAUUUCGGGGCAGCCUGGCUGGUCCGCCGCAAGGCGAGUACUGGUCAGCCGCCCUUCCUCUCGAAAGCCCCGACUGCUCUUUAUUGCAGUGGUCGGGUAGUUCGGGACGUUUACUUUGAAAAAAUUAGAGUGUUCAAGGCAGGCCUACGCCUGAAUACAUUAGCAUGGAAUAAUGGAAGAGGACCUCGGUCCUAUUUUGUUGGUUUCCAGGACCGAAGUAAUGAUUAAGAGGGACAGUUGGGGGCAUUCGUAUUUAAUUGUCAGAGGUGAAAUUCUCGGAUUUAUGAAAGACGAACAACUGCGAAAGCAUUUGCCAAGGAUGUUUUCAUUAA
rnacentral:rRNA from 1 species